CAAAACUUUCAACAACGGAUCUCUUGGCUCUGGCAUCGAUGAAGAACGCAGCGAAAUGCGAUAAGUAAUGUGAAUUGCAGAAUCCAGUGAAUCAUCGAAUCUUUGAACGCACAUUGCGCCCGCCAGCAUUCUGGCGGGCAUGCCUGUUCGAGC
rnacentral:rRNA from 2 species